rnacentral:rRNA from 1 species
GUGUGUGAAAAAGGCUUUCGGGUUGUAAAGCACUUUCAGUGAGGAGAAAGGCUUUCAGAUUAAUACUCUGGAGGGAUUGACGUCACUCACAGAAGAAGCACCCGGCUAACUCCGUGCCAGCAGCCGCGGUAAUACGGGAGGGUGCAAGCGUUAAUCGGAAUUACUGGGCGUAAAGCGCGCGUAGGUGGUUGAGUAAGCGAGAUGUGAAAGCCCCGGGCUUAACCUGGGAACGGCACUUCGAACUGCUCGGCUAGAGUGUGGUAGAGGGUAGUGGAAUUUCCUGUGUAGCGGUGAAAUGCGUAGAUAUAGGAAGGAACACCAGUGGCGAAGGCGGCUACCUGGACCAACACUGACACUGAGGUGCGAAAGCGUGGGGAGCAAACAGGAUUAGAUACCCUGGUAGUCCACGCCGUAAACGAUGUCAACUAGCCGUUGGGGAUCUUGAAUCCUUAGUGGCGCAGCUAACGCACUAAGUUGACCGCCUGGGGAGUACGGCCGCAAGGUUAAAACUCAAAUGAAUUGACGGGGGCCCGCACAAGCGGUGGAGCAUGUGGUUUAAUUCGACGCAACGCGAAGAACCUUACCUGGCCUUGACAUGCAGAGAACUUUCCAGAGAUGGAUUGGUGCCUUCGGGAACUCUGACACAGGUGCUGCAUGGCCGUCGUCAGCUCGUGUCGUGAGAUGUUGGGUUAAGUCCCGUAACGAGCGCAACCCCUAUCCCUAGUUGCUAGCAGUUCGGCUGAGAACUCUAGGGAGACUGCCGGUGACAAACCGGAGGAAGGUGGGGAUGACGUCAGGUCAUCAUGGCCCUUACGGCCAGGGCUACACACGUGCUACAAUGGUGCGUACAGAGGGUUGCAAGCCCGCGAGGGGGAGCCAAUCUCACAAAACGCAUCGUAGUCCGGAUCGGAGUCUGCAACUCGACUCCGUGAAGUCGGAAUCGCUAGUAAUCGGAAUCAGAA